rnacentral:rRNA from 1 species
UGCCAGCAGCCGCGGUAAGACGAGGGGCCCAAGCGUUAAUCGGAAUCACUGGGCUUAAAGGGUGCGUAGGCGGACCCGUAAGCGUUCUGUGAAAUCCCUCGGCUCAACCGAGGAACUGCAGAGCGAACUACGGGUCUUGAGGUAGGUAGAGGUCGUCGGAACGCUAGGUGGAGCGGUGAAUGCGUAGAGAUCUAGCGGAACGCCAAAGGAGUAAUCAGGCGACUGGGCCUUACCUGACGCUAAGGGACGAAAGCGUGGGGAGCGAACGGGAUUAGAUA